ACUUUUCGUGUCCCCCGUUAAAUUUACUAAAAUACCCUCCUCAUCUUCUGAUUCAACUUAAGAAAGCGUUACACUCAUCUUCUGAGAAAAUUGAGAAAGCGUUACACUGAUUCAACCCUUCCCCGUAUUCCUCCCGUUUUCUCUCUCCUUCGAUCUUCUUCAUCUUCCUCAAAUCCUCUCCUUCCUCUCCUCGAUCUUCUUCAUCUUCUGCAACAUGGGUUUUAGGGUUUCUAGAAAUUUUUUCAUUGGAGGUGAGAUAUUCAAAUUGAAACUUUCGUAAUAAAUAAUCAAAUUUAGGGGUUUAGGAAAGGGGAUUGGAUUAUAGAUAAGAACAAAUUGAAGGUGGAUAAUGGAGGAGAGAGAAGACGAUGGUGGGUGAUUAACCUAGAAAUCCACGAUGGUGGUGAUUAUCCUCCGCCGCCGUCAACGAUAUAUGUGGAUUUUUAGGUUUUCUUAGCUUUUGAUUUCUGGGUUUUCUUAGCUUUUGAUUUAUGGGUUUUUGUUUGACAAUCUAAUACGAAUUGAUAACCGGUAUUUGAUUUGUGUUUUUACUAUGCUCUUGAUUUCGUGGAUGUGAAUGAUGUGUUUCAUUUUUAAUAUCCAGUUGAAGCCCUCAAAAAUGCAGUUGAAGGUUCAUCGGCAAGGCAGGGACAACUUCAGUGCAGAAGAAUAAAGAGAGUGAGGGUGUUGGAGUGGUGAUGAUGAAGAAGAUGAAAAGAGAAAGAGGAGGGUCUAAAUGAAACAAAUUCCAUCUAACGCGGCGUUACCAGUAAUUUGGGUUGAUUUGGAUCAUGAUGGUCGGAUUAGUGGUGCCGAAGCGGUCGCUUUUUUUUUCAAGGAUCAAUUCUAAGCAUCCCUUUUGCUGUCUAUGGGCUUGCAGCUUCACGAUAUAACUUAUGUCCAGAAUUGAUUUUAUUAUAUGGAAGCAAGACCAGAAUCCCAGAUGAAGUUAGAAAGACAACAAUCUUGCAUAUAUUCUGGAAAGUUAUGGUGAAAUUCUCCAAGUAUUUAACUGAUGGUGUCUAUCUUGGGGGAUAUACUUUGUUGUCUUAUCAAUGCAAGGGACAGUCUUUGGAAAAAAAUAGACGACGAACAAGCAGCCUCAAGUACUAGAGAAAAUACAUUUCUGCACAACUGUUUUUGGAGUAUCUUGAACUUGAGGGCUGCAGUUCUGCUUCUGCAAAUGACGACAGCCUAUAAUCAAUUUUUUUUGAAAUGUUAAGUCUUUUUAUUACGAUUUUGGGAUGAUUUUUUUUUUCAUCUUUUUUUGGGUACUGUGAACUGAAAUUUUUGAAAUAUUAAGUUGCAGGAUGGGUCCUUGAUUGCUGGUGAUUUUGAGAUUCUUUG